AUGCCGAGGUUGAGCGUGCUCCAAGUUGAAGGUCUCCAAGCUCACCUUGGAUGCCUUCCCAACCCUUUUUGCCACCAUCUCCACAAAGUAUGUCAUCUAGCAAGUAACUCAUAUCACUGGAACAAAAUAGUUGCUGAUCACAUGUAUGAGGAGCAAAAUAAGGAUGCGUCUGUCACCAUGGAAAACUGCCGUUACCUGGUUGAGUGGCCCGUCAGCAAAUCCAAGUUUGAUGCUCCAACAUAUGCAACGCGAUUAACAGCGGAAGAUCCUGAUGAAAAAUAUGAAGUCAUUGACAUUGGGGAGAUUUGGCGGUGCAAGGACAAGUCACUAGGCCCAGAGCUAAAGGAUGCAUGCCUUUCCUUCUCUCUUUUUCAUCUGCUGAGAAGGCGCUACUUUGGGUUUGCCUGUGACGAAUCCAAAGACAGGGCACACGAUUUUGUCUUCAAAGGGCUUCUGUCGGAUGAUGAUGAUGCCACAGACUAUAACAGGGUGUUCAAGGUGCUUGAGGUUGAGUUAGCCUAUACAUAUGAUUUCUUCUUCACCAAGUAUGCUGUCAUUUAUUAUGGAUCAAUGGCUGCAACAAUUUGGUCCCUGAUUUCUGUCAUCGGCUUAUCUAUCACGGCAUUCAUUACUGCUAUCACGAGCCACAUUAUAAGUAGAGGUAGAGAUGAUGUUGUUAUCACAUUAGUGAUACUUGUAUCCACUGCUUUACUUGAAUUCCUACAGAUGUUGUUUUACUGGAUGGGCAUUUGGGGCAGAGUAUCAUUUGUUUGUCAGUCUAUCAGGGAACAAGCAAGAGUCAACAGAAACAAAGCGAGCAUAGGGGGAAGUUGCUUCGUCAAGAUUGGUGUGUGCCUUGCAUAUUGGAUCAUGGGAUUAAGGGAAAUUCUUGCCAAUAUUGGUGUGAAGUUUGCACCAUACCAACACUACUGGCAACACAAGCUUGGGCAGUACUCAUUACUUGAUUCAGUCAGCCACAAUCCUAACCCGUCAAAGCAUAGAUCCGACAGAAAGCUGGGGACAGUGGUGAAAUUCUUUCACCUUAUGGACGUUAGGUUCUUCCAUCAAACAAAUGUUCAGGCAUUACAGGUCCGACAGAAAGCUGCGAAAUCUGUUGAGUUGCCUGAUGAAGUAAAGGAGGCAGUUAUCCGCUCUCUUAAACGCACCAGUGGCACACUAAGCAAUGGGAGAUCUUCUUUACAGUUCAAUGGAGCAGAGCAUCUCUUAUGGGCCUGUGAGUGGGAAAUGCACCUGGAUCCAAGCUGGUACCAGAGAAUACAGAAUCAGACACACAUUAUUUUGACUUGGCACAUUGCAACAUGGUACUGUGAGAUGGUACCGCUUUCUCCAGUUGCGGCACCAGAAGUCAAGGAUACAAGAAGCAAGUUGGAUGCAGCUGCAGUAGAAGCAGUCACGGUCCUGGAGAAGUCAACGAGCAACGGCGUCAAACUUGGGAGGCAACUAGAGGAAAUGGAAGAAGGCGCCCGCUGGAAGGUGAUGGCUGAUUUCUGGGCCGAGAUGAUUCUCUACGUCGCGCCGUCAGACAAUGUCAAUGAGCACAUUGAGCAGCUGGCGCGGGGCGGGGAGUUCAUCACCCACCUCUGGGCUUUGCUCUCUCAUGCAGGCAUCCUUGAAAGGGAUCCCGAGCAUCAAGCUGGGGGCGUGUAA
rnacentral:rRNA from 1 species